CCAGUCAGGGACAGCCAGACUUGUAAACUGCACCUGCUUCCACAGUCUUAGUGCCCCGUCUAAAAGGAACAGGCAGGCGCUGAAGCACUCAUCUUGCCGAUUUUAUUUCAAACGUCCAGGAGAUGGCAGCAAACUCUCCUUCCCUCUCAGUGCUUCACAGGCAGCCAUUCUAAAGCUCGUUGCAUUACAAUUUGCUUUGAAUAUUCUUUUUUUAAAAAAGACAAAAGACUAAAGGGGGCCUUGAGACGUGAUUUUUAUCUGACCCCCUGCUUCUAAUCAAGAAUGAGUAUAAAUAUUUCUAGGGAUAGAAUAGAAUGAUACAAUUUUAUUAUCUAGAAAAGAGAUUGAAUUUCCUUGGCUAUUUUUUCUUAUCUCUGGGGAAAAAGAUUGUAUGACUUCCCUUGGCUGUUGGGCCCUAGACUCUGUUAUCUCCAAAUCCAAAAUAUUCUUACUAAUAACUAGCUUAAAUCUAUCUGGCAGUAAUCUAAACAUUCUUAUUUUGGGAUCUAGGCUAAUGGAAAAUUUUGAAGCACUUUGAAUGCUUAUUAGCUUUUUAAAAUGAAAAUAAAUACGAUUAUAAAAUUUUCAAAAGAAAAAGGAAGUUCAUGCACUUUAUGCAUCAUAGGGAAAGAGCCCAAUAUUUUUGUUUAACUUUAACAUUAAUCUUGGCAAAUAGAGUAGUAUGUCAACAAAAUGCAAAAUCAGUCAGAGGCUGCUUAUAUGUUACAAGAGUGUACGGAACAAAGAAACAGGCAGACCCACUUGGUGACGGCUUUGAUCCUAACAAGCACAUUGUUUUCAAAACUUUGAGGCACUAAAGUUUAUUUCUAAAACAGAAAAGAUGGUGACGUGUUGGAAGUUCUGUGAUGUGAAAUAUAUGUUUGUACAUUUACCAGUGGGAGGAGAAAAGACUAAUGGGAGAGCUGGAUAUUAUAAAUGAUGGGUUAAUGCUGGAGCCUAGGUCACUGCACAGGUUUGAUGCCAUGUGGUCAAUGAAUGACUGAUCUGUUCAUUGUAUUUUGUUUGUUUGGUUGGUUGUUUUUUUUCUUUUGUUUUUGUUUUGUUUUGUUUUGUUUUUAGACAGAGUCUCGCUCUGUCGCCCAGGCUAGAGUGCAGUGGCACCAUCUCGGCUUACUGCCAUGUUUUUUUUUGUUUUGUUUUUUGUUUUUGUUUUGGAUAAUUGCUUAAGAAUUUAGACACACAUACUACUAAAGGAUCUCUCUUUUCCUCUCUUUCUCUCAAAUGUGUAUUGAUGAGGGCCUAUCCAUUUUAGUCUCCCCAGAAGUUACUUUUUAUCUUAGGCUAAGAUUACAUAUCCAUAGCAGUUAAGAGGGCUGAUGUAGUAUUUUAGCUAAUUCAUAAUAUUUUUGUAAAUUCAUCAAUGCAUUUGCAUGAAUUAAUACUAAAAGUGAAAAAAUUGUUUAACAAUUGUAAUAGUCAAUAAAUACCUAACAUCAAAUCAAAAUGAAGGCAAACUUUGGGAUGGGGAGAAGUCAGGAGAAUACUAAAGAAUGAGAUCCUUUUAAUAAAUGUGUGGUCUACAUGGCAAAAUUUGCUGUAGUAUUAACAUACAAUGUUAUCUCAAGACAAUUAUACAUUGCAGCUUCAUGAAUGCAUUAAGAAAGCUAUGCCGGCCAGGCGCAGUGGCUCACGCCUGUAAUCCCAGCACUUUGGGAAGCUGAGGUGGGUGGAUCACUUGAGGUCAGGAGUUUAAGACCAGCCUGGUCGACAUGGUGAAACCCCACCUCUAUUAAAAACACAAAAAUUAGCUGGGCGUGGUGGCACAUGCCUGUAAUCCCAGGUACCCGGCAGGGUGAGGCAGGAGAAUUACUUGAACCUGGGGAGCAGAGGUUGCAGUGAGCCCAUAUCGUACUGCUGCAGUCCAGCCUGGGUGACAGAGACAGACUCCGUCUC
rnacentral:lncRNA from 10 species